AAUCCCAUGGAGGACCGAACCGACCCCCGUUGAAAUGGUGGCGGAUGAGGUGUGGAUAGCGGAGAAAUUCCAAUCGAACUCGGAGAUAGCUGGUUCUCCUCGAAAUAGCUUUAGGGCUAGCGUGAGGUGAUAUGAGUACUGGAGGUAGAGCACUGAAUGGGCUAGGGGGUAUAGCACUUACCGAACCUUAUCAAACUCCGAAUGCCAGAUACUUUUAGCCUUGCAGUCAGACUGCGAAUGAUAAGGUCCGUAGUCAAAAGGGAAACAGCCCAGAUCGUCAGCUAAGGUCCCAAAGUGUAAGUUAAGUGGAAAAGGAUGUGGGAUUUCUAAGACAACUAGGAUGUUGGCUUAGAAGCAGCCACUCAUUAAAAGAGUGCGUAAUAGCUCACUAGUCGAGAGAUCCUGCGCCGAAGAUGUCCGGGGCUAAAACUUACCACCGAAGCUACGGGAUUGCAAUAGCAAUCGGUAGAGGAGCGUCGUAAUCGGGCUGAAGUCGUACCGUAAGGAGCGGUGGACUGAUUACGAGUGAGAAUGUUGGCAUUAGUAGCGAGAUGUAGGUGAGAAUCCUACAGGCCGAAUACCUAAGGUUUCCUCAGGAAGGUUCGUCCUCUGAGGGUUAGUCGGGACCUAAGCCGAGGCCGAAAGGCGUAGGUGAUGGACAAUCGGUUGAUAUUCCGAUACCACUAUAAUCGUUAUUAUCGAUGGCGUGACGGAGAAGGAUAGAGUGUGCUAGCUAUUGGAUGCUAGUCUAAGCGUUUAGGGAGUCAGGAUAGGCAAAUCCGUUCUGAUAAUUCUGAGGCGUAAUGGGGAAGGUUCCAAGGAACCGAAGUACUUGAUUCCAUGCUUCCAAGAAAAGCGUCUAGAAAGAGAAGUAGUGCCCGUACCGUAAACCGACACAGGUAGGUGAGGAGAGAAUCCUAAGGCCGGCGGAAGAAUCACAGUUAAGGAACUAGGCAAAUUGACCCCGUAACUUCGGGAUAAGGGGUGCCUGCGCGAGCAGGUCGCAGAGAAUAGGCCCAAGCAACUGUUUAGCAAAAACACAGGUCUCUGCUAAAGCGAAAGCUGAUGUAUAGGGGCUGACGCCUGCCCGGUGCUGGAAGGUUAAGGGGAACACUUAGCGCAAGCGAAGGUGUGAACUUAAGCCCCAGUAAACGGCGGCCGUAACUAUAACGGUCCUAAGGUAGCGAAAUUCCUUGUCAGGUAAGUUCUGACCCGCACGAAUGGCGUAAUGAUUUGGGCACUGUCUCAACUGUGAAUCCGGCGAAGUUGUAGUGCGAGUGAAGAUGCUCGCUACCCGCGAUUGGACGGAAAGACCCCGUAGAGCUUUACUGUAGCUUAGCAUUGAAUUUCGGUAUUGUCUGUACAGGAUAGGUGGGAGACUAGGAAACCAGAGCGUCAGCUUUGGCGGAGUCACCCUUGGGAUACCACCCUGAUAGUACUGAGGUUCUAACUGGAUGCCAUGAAUCUGGUGACAGGACAUUGUUAGGUGGGCAGUUUGACUGGGGCGGUCGCCUCCGAAAGUGUAACGGAGGCGCCCAAAGGUUCCCUCAGAACGGUCGGAAAUCGUUCGAAGAGUGCAAAGGCAGAAGGGAGCCUGACUGCGACACCCACAAGUGGAGCAGGGACGAAAGUCGGGCUUAGUGAUCCGGUGGUACCUCGUGGGAGGGCCAUCGCUCAACGGAUAAAAGCUAC
rnacentral:rRNA from 1 species